UUUCUGUAACUUACUAGGAGUGUUGUACUCUUGGCAAUUCAAUAUGUACUGUAAAGCCAAAAAUAAACAAUUACCUCUUGUGCUACAAGACAUUCAUUCUGCUUCUACCACUAGAUGGCGAUCUAAUAAAGGGAUUGUUCGGAAAGUAUUAAUCUCAAUAAAGGCAUAGCAUAUAACUGUAUUGUAUUAAGUAUUGAAUGAUAUUUAAAGGUACAGCUUAUUUAAA